rnacentral:rRNA from 1 species
AUACGUAGGUGGCAAGCGUUGUCCGGAAUUAUUGGGCGUAAAGGGCACGCAGGCGGUCUUAUAAGUCUGAUGUGAAAUCUCGCGGCUUAACCGCGAGCGGUCAUUGGAAACUGUAGGACUUGAGUACAGAAGAGGAGAGUGGAAUUCCACGUGUAGCGGUGAAAUGCGUAGAUAUGUGGAGGAACACCAGUGGCGAAGGCGGCUCUCUGGUCUGUGACUGACGCUGAGGUGCGAAAGCGUGGGUAGCAAGCAGGAUUAGAUACCCUGGUAGUCCACGCCGUAAACGAUGAGUGCUAGGUGUUGGGGGGCACGCCCCUCAGUGCUGAAGUAAACACAUUAAGCACUCCGCCUGGGGAGUACGGCCGCAAGGCUGAA